rnacentral:rRNA from 1 species
UACGUAGGGUGCGAGCGUUGUCCGGAAUUAUUGGGCGUAAAGCGCACGUAGGCGGCUUUGCAAGUCCCAUGUGAAAGCCCACGGCUCAACCGUGGAAGUGCAUGGGAAACUGCAGAGCUUGAGUACUUAAGAGGAUCGCGGAAUUCCCGGUGUAGAGGUGAAAUUCGUAGAUAUCGGGAGGAACACCAGUGGCGAAGGCGGCGAUCUGGGAAGAUACUGACGCUGAGGUGCGAAAGCGUGGGGAGCAAACAGG